GCCAGUGUGGUACAGUGGUUUGAGUGCUGGACUUCAACUCUGGAGACCAGGGUUCAAUUCCCAGCUCAGCCA